rnacentral:rRNA from 1 species
UGGGGAAUUUUGGACAAUGGGGGCAACCCUGAUCCAGCAAUGCCGCGUGAGUGAAGAAGGCCUUCGGGUUGUAAAGCUCUUUUGUCAGGGAAGAAACGGUUCUGGCUAAUACCCGGGGCUAAUGACGGUACCUGAAGAAUAAGCACCGGCUAACUACGUGCCAGCAGCCGCGGUAAUACGUAGGGUGCGAGCGUUAAUCGGAAUUACUGGGCGUAAAGCGUGCGCAGGCGGUUGUGCAAGACAGAUGUGAAAUCCCCGGGCUCAACCUGGGAAUUGCAUUUGUGACUGCACGGCUAGAGUGUGUCAGAGGGGGGUAGAAUUCCACGUGUAGCAGUGAAAUGCGUAGAGAUGUGGAGGAAUACCGAUGGCGAAGGCAGCCCCCUGGGAUAACACUGACGCUCAUGCACGAAAGCGUGGGGAGCAAACAGGAUUAGAUACCCUGGUAGUCCACGCCCUAAACGAUGUCAACUAGUUGUCGGGUCUUAAUUGACUUGGUAACGCAGCUAACGCGUGAA